UAGCUGGGACUACAGGCGCCCGCCACCGCACCCGGCUAAUUUUUUGUAUUUUUAGUAGAGACGGGGUUUCACCUUGUUAGCCAGGAUGGUCUCGAUCUCCUGACCUCAUGAUCCACCCGCCUCGGCCUCCCAAAUCUACCUGGUUUUCAAAAGUAAAUUUAACCUGUGAUCUCAGCAUCCCUGAUGUUCACAUUUCAUGCAGAGGGUCCAAGAAACUCAGAUCAUACUUUGACGGAAUGAAGUUGAUAAUAGUGAGACCUUGUUGGUACAAGACUACGUAACAUAACCUGCGCUUCUCAACAAAGAAUUGCUUUUCUGACUUCUGCACUCAGAAAAGGGAAUCACUUGAGGGAACAACCACAAGUUGGAACCCACUACAACUUUGGAAAGAUGACAUGGGAUUUUACAGAAUAAGAUGAGACCUUCCACUACCUAUAAAAUGGUGCUACACGGGAUAUAAAGUGCCAGGAAUAUAGAUCUGGUAACAAAAUAAAAAUGGAUCUCUAAUUUCUUCCUGUAACAGUAUUUCAACCUGUCGUACAGUCUUAAACUUUCACAACUAAUAUUUGCUAGAGAAAAUAGAAAAAGUCACUCAAAUGAUAACUUAUCAUGAAGGUCUAGGCCAAGUCCGGGCUAAGAUGUGGGUUUCACAUCAGGUUUUGAGUGGGAGGAGAAUGGUCAAUUUGCUCACUAUGUGUGUGGCAAAAGAUAAAAGUCCUAGCUGCCAGAGCAGGGUGCUGGUACUUUGGAAACAAUGGCUGAGAAUAUGUAUGUGAACUUUAAAAAACUGUAAUGACUUUGAAGUCUAUAUAUGGAUCACCAUGAAAACUGAGGGAUCUGUGUUAGUAAGGGCAUCCUGGUCACAAAGGUCAAUCAUUACCAGACUGCAGGGGCAGUUUCAAUGGCAACGGCGCAGCAACAGAAUCAAUGGAAACAACAAAAAGAAGAGAAUGGCCGUGUCCCCCCAAAUCCUUCUGACUUAUG
rnacentral:lncRNA from 10 species